rnacentral:lncRNA from 1 species
UUUUAUUUUUAUACCACUUUUCUAAGGCAAACGGCUGCAAGAGUGGGAAGAUAUAGUUCUCUGACUUCUUAGACACCAGCAGUAGGGUCUAGCAUGAAAACAUUCCAUUCAAGGGAAAGAAAAAAGAAAUACACAUACAUAAAUAAAUCUUAAAUAAGAAGGUGUUGAAAUACAUAUGAACAAAUGUGAAAAAACAUAUCAGGAUAAUAUUUUUGAACAGUAUUAAUUGUCAUUUCAAGUGCUUUUAGACCAUUUCAAAAGAGGAUAUUCUGUUUCUGAAAUGGCACAUUCCCAGCCAAAUGAAUGCAAGUGGCAUCAGCAAAAGAACUCAGGACCUCCGGCUCUAGAAAUAGAAAUCGUCAAAAAGGGCAAAGCAGCAGCUCUGGUAGCUCAGCCAAAACAAGAACGUGGUGCUCAUGAACACAGCUUUUAUUGCAUAUAUAUAUGUGUGUAUAUAUAUAUAUGUAUGUAUAUCACUCUUGAGAAGAUAUGUCAAGUAUAUAAAAAUAAAUUUCAAUCUGAAUCCAGUUCACCUUGACACCCAAAUAUUUUAGCCCAGCUACCCUUACAUGUAGCUGGUAGCUUACAAAAUAUAAACUGGUGGGUAUUUUAUCCUUAGCAAAACUAAGGAACUCAUGGAGCAGGAACUCGUUCAAAAAGGCACUGUUAGUGUUUGCCCACCACUUGACAGCUUCCUCCAAGAGUCAUCAUUUGAAACAAUACAAAGUAGUUGGUCAUAGCAUGUCUUAUAUUACAGCCCAUACUUAUACACCUCCUUUUCAAUUACAAAUGUCACAAGAAGGAACAAUGUAAUUCCACUGACUUUCAAAAGUCUGAAAUUUGACUCAGUUAAAGAUUUAAAUUUAGAUUAAAUUGGGCAACAUUUCUAAUUGAAUUUCAACAUUUUAAAAGGUAAUGCCUUUGUGUCAGAAACACUAUAUCUAAUGACUUAUUUAAUACAUAUAUUUGAUUGGCUUACUGCUGUUUUAAAUUUAAUGGUUUCCUCUUUCAAAUGAUUUUCUGGUAUGUUGCAGCACUAUUUUUAAUUUUCUUGUAGUUGUUGUUUCCUUAAAGAUUUAACAGAAAUCUAAGGUUUUCAAGGAAGGAAUUAAAUCUGGUUGCAUGUUUGUAUAUGAUCUCUACAAGAACUCCUCGGUGUUACUGUGAUGAAGCACACAGACAGAAAUUUUGAAAUACAACAGAAGUAGCAACCCAAAACUGGAUUUUGUUCAGUUCUACUAAUUUAACAUGGAUGCAAUCUCACCAACAAAGAAUUGUUGUACAGGGCAAAAAGUUACCUCUGAUCAUAUCUACAGUUUUUUUAUAUGGACUACAGAUCAUCCUGCCAGCUGGGUUACUUCAAUGUAUUUGAAAUCUAAUAUAAAAAUUAAGAUAUUUAGAAAAAUAAAACUAAUGUGAAAUACA